GAUGAACGCUGGCGGCGUGCUUAAUACAUGCAAGUCGAACGAACAGGCCCUGCUUUUGUUGGGUGCUCGAGUGGCGAACGGGUGUGUAACACGUGUGUAACCUGCCCCUGACUUUGGGAUAACUCCAGGAAACUGGGGCUCAUACCGGAUAGGAGCUCUUGCUGCAUGGUGGGGGUUGGAAAGUUUCGGCGGUUGUGGCUGGUCUCGCGGCUUAUCCGCUUGUUGGUGGAGUAGUGGAAUUCCAAGCGUGCGACGGGUAGCCGGCCUGAGAGGGUGACCGGCGUCAAGGGUCCUGCGGGACGGCGCAGACGCCUACGGGAGGCAGCAGUGGGGAGCAUGACGGAGUAAGGGGAAGCCAGAUAUGGCGGCGCUGCGUGCGUAAUGACGGCCUACGAGGUGAGAACCGCUUUCUACGGUGACGAAGAGGGAUUGACGGUAAUUGAUAAGGAAGCAACGGCUAACUACGUG
rnacentral:rRNA from 1 species